rnacentral:rRNA from 1 species
CUACAUGAAGCUGGAAUCGCUAGUAAUCGCAGGUCAGCAUACUGCGGUGAAUACGUUCCCGGGUCUUGUACACACCGCCCGUCACACCAUGGGAGCCGGAAAUGCCCGAAGCCAGUGACCCAACCUUAGGGAGGGAGCUGUCGAAGGUGGAGCCGGUAACUGGGUGAAGUCGUAACAAGGUAAC